AUGACCAAGAGGGAAAAAACCAACUCCGCCCAAAUAAAAUGGGGCCCCGAAGAAGCGUGCGGUGCGCCCAGGGCUCUCUUCGGCCCGCACUCCCGAAGCCAGGGGGCCACGCCGCCCCCGCCACCUGCCAGACGAGGCCGCGGUCAGGGGCCCACGCUCCGCAGCAGGGAAGAGCCGGCCAGGUCCCCGGCCCCGCCGCGUCCGCCCCGGCCCCGCCGCGGGGGCAGGAACCCGGGGCCGGAGGUUUCCGCCCGGCGCGGCCAAGCCCGCCAGGGGCCUAGCCCGGGGGCCGCAGAGGCUCCCGAGGACCCGUCCCCGUCGUCCGGGGCGCACAGCUGCCUCAGCCCGGCCCUCAGAGCCUCUGGGCGGCGGGCGCGGCGCGGCAGCAGCACCCGCACCUGCCCCGCGCCCUGCGGCAGCCCCGGCGAGCCGAGCGGCUCUCACCCACCUGGCGCCGCGCCUCCCGCACGUCACGGCGCGACCCCGCGCUCCUCGGCACCCGCAGCGCGCGCGCGCGGACGGGUGCGGGAGACCCUGCUCGGCCGCCGCCGCCGCCGCGUCGGUCGUCAGGCGGCCGCCGGCGAACCUGUUGCGCAGCCUGUCAAGGGCGCUCGCCUCUGCCGGCGCCGCCUCAGCCCCACAACAACAUGGCGGCCGCGGCCUCCGCAGGAAGCCGGGGGGCGGGGAGGCAGGCGACGGGCCGGGCAGCUGACGGCCCGCCCGCCGGGCACCUACUCCCACCCUCGGGAGCCCGAAGCUGCCCGGGCGCGGCCGCUCACCCCGGGAUCCCCGGGACCCCGGACCCCGUGGGCUUACUCCGAAGCGCUCCUCUCGGCCCUCGGGGAGGCCGACGCUCCGGACCCGGCAGGCAGUCUUGGAGCUGCGACGACCCACCUGACUCCUCCCAGAGAGGCAGAGGGCAAGAGACAGACAAAGAGAGAGUUUCUGUCUACUUGUGCUCUCCUCAAAUGCCUGCAACAGCCAGAAGGCCAAAGCUGGGAGCCGGGAACUCAAGCCAGGGCUUUCACAAAUUCCUUGCAACUGCUUGUUGGGGUCUGCAUCAGCUGGGAGCUGCAGUCAGGAGUGGAGCAGCGAGUCAAACCCAGGUACUCGGAUGUGGAAUCUGGGCAUCUACUCAGCAUCUUAACCACUAGUCCAGAUGCCUGCACCUUGAUCUUGGAAUCCCCAGCCUCCAGAAGUGCACUCCAGUGUGGGAUGUGGGUACCCUAGCCAGCAUCUGAACCAUUAGGCCAAGCACCUGCCCCAAAUGGAAUAUCGUAGUCUUCAUAGCAGUAUUUGAUGUUUUGAUACAUUCAAAAUAAAGUUACACUGAGCAAAGGUAUUUAUCAGUCUUACAGAAAACAGCUUCUCCAGUGACAUCUGUGGAACAAAACAGACUCACAAUGGAUGAUGGUGAGGUGAUGUUUGAGACCACAAAAUAAAACCGCCUUGCAAACAUCGCAUAUUUGUUCAAACAGUGGUUGCAAUUUCCAUUAAUCCACCCGGGCAGAGUGGACAGUGAGAGAGAGACAGAGAAAAAGGUCUUCCUUUGCCGUUGGUCCACCCUCCAGUGGCCGCCGCGGCCGGCGCGCUGUGGCUGGCACACCGCCCUGAUCCGAAGCCAGGAGCCAGGUGCUUCUCCUGGUGUCCCAUGGAGUGCAGGGCCCAAGCACUUGGGCCACCCUCCACUGCACUCCCGGGCCACAGCAGAGAGCUGGACUCGAAGAGGGGCAACCGGGACAGAAUCCGGUGUCCCGACCAAGACUAGAACCCAGUGUGCCAGCACCGAAGGCGGAGGAUUAGCCAAGUGAGCCUUGGCACUGGCUGUAAGGGGCUGUGAAGUCCAAAAAUUGUCGCCGGGGGCAUUCUUAAUAAAAAUGCCAGGAAGCUGAGCAGCUUCUGGGCCGAGUGCAUGACUUUAAAGGCAGAAACGACACUCUGAGCUCCACUCUGAAAUCGCCCAGCAGGGCUCCGGCGGCUCUGGGGAGUGCUAUGGGAAUUAGGUGCCUCCCGGCUCCACGCCCAGAGCCCAGCUACACCCAGCAGGCUACAUGAUAUCACCGCCACACACAUCAAAGGCUUGCUCUCCAGCUUCAAAAGGAAAAGGAAAAGGAACAGGAUACUUUGUGUUGGGAGUCCUGCUCUGAGCGGGAACUGGGCUGCUGCCUGUUCAAGUUGUUCCCUGGGUAUUCUGGCGUCUUGCCCUGCCUGACAGCUGCAGGAGUUCUGUAAGAAAUCGGAGGGAGAAUUUCCUUUGCAGCCAUGACUGAGAACCCAGGAUCAAGAGCUUUGCAGACCGAAAAGACAUUACCCUUCAAAUAUCCCAAGUCGUCCAUUAGGGUCAACGAGCAGCUGGCAAAAAAGCAGGGCAGCUGGCCGUGCAGCCGUGGCCUGGAUGGAGAAAUUGUAUUCCACUGGGAACCAGGCAGCAGAAUUUCUUUUCACUAAGAGAAAACUUACAGAAACAUUUAAAAAUAAGUAUAUGUUAAUACUGGCAUAUUCCAAAUGGCCAGAAGCAUACAGAACAAUACCGUGGUCCCAGAUCAGUGAAUGUUAACUUUGUGCCACAUUCAUUUCACCUCUUUUUCUACCAAAUUGACAUCUGUGUUUGAAUUGUCACCUCCUUACCCCGGCCCCACUCCCCAGGCCUGUGGGGCUGGCCUGGAUCUUCUCGGGUAUCCACAACAAAGGGUGUAUAUUCUUGCUGCAUUUGGAUGCGCCCAAAAGCAACAAUAUUCUUCUCUCUGCUUUUGGAAUUUAAAUAAGUGGUACCAUUCUGUACUCCCCUUCUGCUACAUGUUUUCAUUCCUCUCAACACAUUUCAUAAUCAUCCAUGCUAAUAUAUGUCAAUCUAGCACAUUCAUUUUAACUUCAGAAAGGUAUUUCAUGAUGUGACUGCAUCAGAGGCCAUUUGUCCAUUCCCUGGUUGGUAGAUAUUAUGUAGUUCAAUUUUGGGGGAAUCACAAACAUUGCUGAGAUGGAUAGUCUUGUGUUUGUUGGGGCACAUAUGGGAAAUUAUCUCUAUGGCAAUGGUUCUUCAAGUUUUGUUCUUGCAGUCUUUUUAUAUUGUUAAAAAUUAUUAAGAACUCCAAAUAGCAAUGUCGUUGUUUAUGUGGAUUCUGUCUACUGAUAUUUAGGGUGUUUGAAAUCAAAAAAGGAAAUGUAAAGCUAUUAAUUAGUUUAAAAAUAAUAAACCUGUUAUAAUUCAACACAGAAAUGUGUUUUUUUUUUAAUGAAAAAUUAGUAUACUUUACCAAUCCAGAAAACAUUAAUGAGAAGGGGGGAACUCUUGUGCAUUUUUGCAAAUCUCUUUAAUGUCUGGCUUAAUAGAAGUCAGCUGGGUUCUUAUUAUCUGCUUCUGCAUUCAAUCUGUUGCAGUGUGUUGUCCGGCUGAAGUAUGUGAAAAAACACAGGCCUCACACAGACAUGUAGUUGUAAGAGGGCGGAGUAUUCUAAUAACCUCAGAUAAUUUUUUAACAUUCUUCAUCAAAGAUACUAAUCAAAAGUCAAGUGAUAGCCUUUCAUUUUAAAAAUGAUUUAAUUUUUAUUUGAAAAAUUGUCAGAGAGGCAGAGACUGAAGUAGUUGAGCCAUCACCGGCUACCUCUUAGGGUGCCCAUUAGCAAGACACUGGAUGGGAAGCAGAGUAGCUGGGACUGAAACCAGAUACAGUGACGCAGGCAUCCCCAGGUGGCAACUCAGUUGGUGCCAAAUGCCCUCCCUUAGUGAUAGUCUCUUAAAGAUUAGUUACAGAUGGAAUCUGAAAUUAUCAAUGUAAUUCACAUACUCUCACACUAAACCCAUUGGUCUUUCUUGGUCAUUUGGAAAACAUUGAUUCACUGUGCAUUUCACACAGUCGUUGACAGAUUUCAUCCUAUAAUAUGAAAGAAACAUUUAUUUGUAUCACCACCAAUUUAAUUAUAAAACUUUUUAAAAAAUUUAGAAAAAUGUCAAGAUCAUGGUGCUAGAUGCAAGUUUUCCAAAAUUCUAAUAUUUCAAAGCUCAAAAUUUAUCAUUGGCAACAGAUGUGUCAGUUGCUUUCCUUGAAAUGACAGGCUCACUUUGUUCAUUUUUUAGGAAAAUGAAUGCCUACCAAAUUCCCAAGUCUGAAUAACCAUAGUCAGUCUUUCUUCCAAAUAGUUUUUCAUGAAGCGGUGUUUCAUGAACAAAGUGGCUCUUUCAAUUCAUAGCUCAAAACAACGCAGGAAUGUUUUUCCUUGAGAGAACAGACAUCAUGCCGUAGUGUGCAGAAGCGCUUUAUGUGUGUUACCCAUUUCGUUACACAGAAUAUUGAUAUUACAAAGCCAUGUGCUUGGAGCCGGUGUUGUGGAACAGCAGGUUAAGCUAUGCCAGAGUCACCAGCAUCCUGUUUGAGCGCUGAUUCAUUUCCCAGCCGCCCACUUUCUUUCCAGCUCCCUGCUAAUAUACCUGGGAAAGCAGCAGCAGAUGACCGAACUCUUUGGGUCUCUGCCACACACGUGGGAGACCCAGAUGGAAUUCCAGGCCCUUGGCUUUGGCCUGGCCCAGCCUUGGCUAUUGCUGCCAUUUGGGAAGUGAACCACCGGAUGGAAGAUGUCUCUCUCUAUCCCUCUCUGUCUUUCUCUGUCUCUCGCCUCUCUCUCUCUGUAACUCUGCCUUUCAAAAUAAGUAAUAAAUAAAUCUUUAAAAAAAGACAUGUGCUCGGCAGUUGAGAGUUAAUGAAGUUUAAUAAUAUUUUUUACUAUUUAAUCUAUAAUAUUCUUAAGUAAGAUUAAAUAAUAUUACUAUUGUUUUAAUUCAAGUACAUAGCUGUAAAGAAUAUUACAAUAGGAGCCAGUGCUGUGGUGUAGUAGGCUAAGCCUCCACCUGCAGCUCUGGUAUCCUAUAUGGGCACCAGUUUGUGCACCGGCUGCUUCUCUUCUGAUCUAGCUCUCUGCUAUGGCCUGAGAAAGCAGUGGAAGAUGACAGAAGUCCUUGGGCCACUGCACCCAUGUGGGAGACCCAGAGGAAGCUCCUGGCUCCUGAAUUUGGAUCAGCCCAGCUCUAGCCAUUGAAGCCAUUUGGAGAGUGAGCCAGUGAGUAGAAGAUCUUUGUUUCUGUCUGUAACUCUACUUCUCAAAUAAAUAAAUAAAUAAAAUCUUUAAAAAAAUAUUGUGAUGACCAGGACAGUUAAGUACUGCAGCCUUGAUUUGUGCUAAAGUAGCAGCAGUUUUAAUAAUUAUGUUUUUUCAUUGAAUAAACAAAUUGUUCAGAGUAGAAUUGCUAAGGCCCAGGAGAUAUACAUCUAUAAUUUCAUUAGAUGACACUAAAUUUUUCUCCAAAGAGAGUGUGUCCUUUUAGACAUCUACCAGCAGUGGAUGAGAGUUCUUGUUUCUCCAGAACCUGACUAUGGAACUUGUCAUUUAUUUGUUAGAAAGGCGGAGAGAGAAAAGAUCUUCUAUCCACAGGUUCACUUCCCAAAUGGUCACAAUAGCUGAGGCUGAGCCAGGCCAAAGCCAGGAGCCUGAAACUCCCGCAUGGGUGGCAGGACCCAAGUACUUGGCUGUCUUCUGCUACUUUCCUAGGUACCUUAACAGGAAACUGGAUUAGAAGCAGAACAGCCAGCAGUACAAAUGGCAGCUUAACCUGCUGUACUACAACGCCAGCCUCAGAACUUGUCUUUUAACUAAGGUUUUUGAUUCUUGGUGAAGACAUUUAAAAUUUUAAUGUAAUUAAAUUUAUCAAUAUUUCCCUUUUAUGAUUUGUGAUAGUGGGUUAUCUCAUCCAUGAACAUGGUAUAUGUUUCCAUUUAUUAAGUUUUUUAAA